GUUUAACUCCCUCCUCUACUA
rnacentral:tRNA from 1 species